AAAGGAAUAGACGGGGACCCGCACAAGCAGAGGAGGAUGUGGUUUAAUUCGACGCUAAGCGAAGAACCUUACCGAGGCUUGACAUCCCGCGAAGGUCUGGGAAACUAGACUGUGCCUUCGGGAACGCGGUGACAGAUGCUGCAUGGCCGUCGUCAGCUCGUGUCGUGAGAUGUUGGGUUAAGUCCCGCAACGAGCGCAACCCUCGUGAUUAGUUAUAUUUUCUAAUCAGACCGCCCGGGCCAACCGGGAGGAAGGUGGGGAUGACGUCUGGUCAGCAUGGCUCUUACGCCUCGGGCUACACACGUCCUACAAUGGCCACUACAACGCGCUGCCAAACCGUAAGGUGGAGCUAAUCGCAUCAAAAGUGGUCCCAGUUCGGAUUGAGGGCUGAAACUCGCCCUCAUGAAGUCGGAUUUGCUAGUAAUGGCAGGUCAGCUAUACUGCCGUGAAUACGUUCCCGGGUCUUGUACACACCGCCCGU
rnacentral:rRNA from 1 species